GGGAGUUUGGCCGAGUGGUUAAGGCGCUGUGUUUAGGUCAUAGGCUUCGGCUUAUACCGUAAAUCCCGCAGUGGGAAACCGCGCAGGUUCGAAUCCUGCAGCUCUCA